UGGCCACAGCACUGUGAACAUGACCUAUCUCUUCUAAUCUUGGAAGCUAAGCAGGGUCGGGCUUGGUUAGUACUUGGAUAGGAGAAGCACAAGUGACUAAUAAAA
rnacentral:rRNA from 1 species